rnacentral:rRNA from 1 species
UUUAUAUUGAGCGAAAGGGAAUACGGUUCCAAUUCCGUAACCUAUUGAGUAUACGUUUAUUGUGGGUCCUAUAUAUAGUUUUACUAUAUAUAGGUUUAAAGCUCAUCCUGGUAACAGAAGCUGCCAUAGAGAAGCCGUCGAAGCAUACCGGAAGAGUUAUCUUUUCUGUUUCAUAACUGUAUUACCAUGGAAGUCUUUCGAAGAGAGAUAUGGUAAAUGAGUUAGAAGAGCACGGCGUUUAUUGCUGUGUCGGGUAUGUGUUCCUCGGACCUUGAAAAUCUAUGGUAGGGCCACGUAAACAUUCUCAAUAGACCGUACCAAUAUCCGCAGCAGGUCUCCAAGGUUAAGAGUCUCUAGUCGAUAGAAUAAUGUAGGUAAGGGAAGUCGGCAAAUUAGAUCCGUAACUUCGGGAUAAGGAUUGGCUCUGAAGAUUGCGAUGCGUCGGGCUUGUUUGGGAAGUAUGUUAAUGUGUUGCUAAAAUAUCUGACUAGUUGGUAACGAUGAAAAGAUAUGAUUAAGCAACGCGAAAUACGGAACUCUAAGCUAUGCUGUAAACGCAAUAUC